rnacentral:rRNA from 1 species
AUUCCAGCUCCAAUAGCGUAUAUUAAAGUUGUUGCGGUUAAAAAGCUCGUAGUUGGAUUUCUGUCGAUGACUGGUGGUCCUCUCUAUGAGAGUGUAUCUACUUAGGCGUUGGCAUCCUCAUGAGAGACGUUUCUGUGCUUGAUUGCAUGGUGCGGAUUUCAUGACUUUUACUUUGAGGAAAUUAGAGUGUUCACGGCAGGCACGCGCCUUGAAUACAUUAGCAUGGAAUAAUAAUAUAGGAUCGAGAUUCUAUUUUGUUGGUUUCUAGAAUCACGAUAAUGAUUAAUAGGGAUAAUUGGGGGCAUUUGUAUUAACGCGUCAGAGGUGGAAUUCUUGGAUUGCGUUACGACAAACUACUGCGAAAGCAUUUGCCAAGGAUGUUUUCAUUA